rnacentral:rRNA from 1 species
UACGAAGGGGGCUAGCGUUGCUCGGAAUUACUGGGCGUAAAGCGCACGUAGGCGGCUUGUUAAGUCGGAGGUGAAAUCCUGGAGCUCAACUCCAGAACUGCCUUCGAUACUGGCGAGCUCGAGUCCGGGAGAGGUGAGUGGAACUGCGAGUGUAGAGGUGAAAUUCGUAGAUAUUCGCAAGAACACCAGUGGCGAAGGCGGCUCACUGGCCCGGUACUGACGCUGAGGUGCGAAAGCGUGGGGAGCAAACGG